AGCUCCAAUAGCGUAUAUUAAAGUUGUUGCAGUUAAAAAGCUCGUAGUUGGAUUUCUGGCAGAGAGACUAUGCCCGCACGUAGCGUGUGCAGAGGCUCUCUACCAUCCUUCUGUUAACCCUUCUAGUCAUUGACUUGACUGUUGGGAGCCCAGAUAUUUUACCUUGAGAAAAUUAGAGUGUUUCAGGCAGGCUAGCGCGUGGAUACAUUAGCAUGGAAUAAUGGAAUAGGACUUUUACCUCUUCUGUUGGUCUGAGGGUUAAAGUAAUGAUUAAUAGGGAUAGUUGGGGGCAUUAGUACUUAACUGUCAGAGGUGAAAUUCUUGGAUUUGUUAAAGACUAACUUAUGCGAAAGCAUUUGCCAAAGAUGUUUUCAUUGAUCAAGAACG
rnacentral:rRNA from 1 species